ACAGAUUACAGGCCUAACACAUGCAAGUCGAGGGGCAGCAUGAUCAAAGCUUGCCUUCGAUUGAUGGCGACCGGCGCACGGGUGAGUAACGCGUAUCCAACCUUCCCCUUAGUAGGGCAUAGCCCGUAGAAAUGCGGAUUAAUACCCUAUGUUAUUCGUCGAGGACAUCUGAAGUGAAUCAAAGGUUUACCGCUAAGGGAUGGGGAUGCGUCCGAUUAGGCCGCAGCGGGGUAACGGCCCACCUGUUCUUAUCUAUCGGUAGGGGUUCUGAGAGGAAGGUCCCCCACAUUGGAACUGAGACACGGUCCAACUCCUACGGGAGGCAGCAGUGAGGAAUAUUGGUCAAUGGGCGCGAGCCUGAAC
rnacentral:rRNA from 1 species